GCUGGGCAUGGUGGUGCGUGCCUGUAAUCCCAGCUACUUGGGAGGCUGAGGCAGAAGAAUUGCUUGAACCCAGGAAGCGGAGGGUGCAGUGAGCUGAGAUUGCACCACUGCACUCCAGCCUAGGCAACAGAGCAAGACACUGCCUCAA
rnacentral:SRP_RNA from 1 species